rnacentral:rRNA from 1 species
CACGUAGGAGGCAAACGUUAUCCGGAUUUACUGGGCGUAAAGCGCGUGUAGGUGGUUCUGUAAGUAGGGCGUGAAAGCUCCCGGCUCAACUGGGAGAGGCCGUUCUAAACUGCAGAGCUAGAGGAUGGUAGAGGGAGGUGGAAUCCCAGGUGUAGCGGUGGAAUGCGCAGAUAUCGGGAGGAACACCGGUGGCGAAGGCGGCUUUCUGGCAAGUUACUGACGCUCAUGCGCGAAAGCUGGGGUAGCGAACCGGAUUAGAUACCCCUGUAGUCCCU